UACGGGGGGGGCAAGCGUUGUUCGGAAUUACUGGGCGUAAAGGGCUCGUAGGCGGCCAACUAAGUCAGACGUGAAAUCCCCAGGCUCAACCUGGGAACUGCGUCUGAUACUGGAUGGCUGGAAUCCGGGAGAGGGAUGCAGAAUUCCAGGUGUAGCGGUGAAAUGCGUAGAUAUCUGGAGGAAUACCGGUGGCGAAGGCGGCAUCCUGGACCGGCAUUGACGCUGAGGAGCGAAAGCCAGGGGAGCAAACGGG
rnacentral:rRNA from 1 species